GGUCCAGACUUUGAUCCUGGCUCAGGAUGAACGCUAGCUACAGGCUUAACACAUGCAAGUCGAGGGGCAGCAUGAACUUAGCUUGCUAAGUUUGAUGGCGACCGGCGCACGGGUGAGUAACACGUAUCCAACCUGCCGAUGACUCGGGGAUAGCCUUUCGAAAGAAAGAUUAAUACCCGAUGGCAUAGUUCUUCCGCAUGGUGGAACUAUUAAAGAAUUUCGGUCAUCGAUGGGGAUGCGUUCCAUUAGGUUGUUGGCGGGGUAACGGCCCACCAAGCCUUCGAUGGAUAGGGGUUCUGAGAGGAAGGUCCCCCACAUUGGAACUGAGGCACGGUCCAAACUCCUGCGGGAGGCAGCAGUGAGGAAUAUUGGUCAAUGGACGAGAGUCUGAACCAGCCAAGUAGCGUGAAGGAUGAUUGCCCUAUGGGUUGUAAACUUCUUUUAUACGGGAAUAAAGUGAGGCACGUGUGCCUUUUUGUAUGUACCGUAUGAAUAAGGAUCGGCUAACUCCGUGCCAGCAGCCGCGGUAAUACGGAGGAUCCGAGCGUUAUCCGGAUUUAUUGGGUUUAAAGGGAGCGUAGGCGGACGCUUAAGUCAGUUGUGAAAGUUUGCGGCUCAACCGUAAAAUUGCAGUUGAUACUGGGUGUCUUGAGUACAGUAGAGGCAGGCGGAAUUCGUGGUGUAGCGGUGAAAUGCUUAGAUAUCACGAAGAACUCCGAUUGCGAAGGCAGCUUGCUGGACUGUAACUGACGCUGAUGCUCGAAAGUGUGGGUAUCAAACAGGAUUAGAUACCCUGGUAGUCCACACAGUAAACGAUGAAUACUCGCUGUUUGCGAUAUACAGAAGCGGCCAAGCGAAAGCGUUAAGUAUUCCACCUGGGGAGUACG
rnacentral:rRNA from 1 species